rnacentral:tmRNA from 4 species
GCGCUUGCACGCGGACCGGCGCAAAGCAUAUACUUAAUUGUCGAGCAAUCGACUAUGGCGAUAAAAGCCGGAUGGAAUAAGCGUUGCGGACCCGGGGGCAGUGCCCGGCGCCUCCACCAACUAACCACAAAAAGAACAGUGGCUUCACGGGGGCGAAACAGGAUCGACGUGCGUGGUAAAGGUUCGGUCUUCGCCCGGCAUGGUACCACCGAUAUCGGGCCAAUCGAUAUAUGCCAACGACAAUGAGGCAUAUGCUCUCGCCGCUUAAGGCGUGAGCGGGGUUCGGGAGGCACCUGGCACCAGAAGCCUCCCACU